GUAUUAUUGAAAAUGGUCGUUCAUGGCUAUUUUCGACAAAAAUGGGGGUUGUGUGGCCAUUGAUCAUCAACCAGAGGCUCGUACACCUCACCCCACAUAUGUUUCCUUGCCAUAGAUCACAUUCUUGGUUUUUGGUGGAGACCAUUUCUUGGGCAAAAAUCCGAUCACAUUCUUGGAUUUAUGGUGGAGACCAUUUCUUGGUCAAAAAUCCGUAGGUGUUAGCCUUCAGUGUCAUUGAAUAUGGUCGUUCAUGGCAAUUUUUGACAAAAAUGGGGGUUGUGUGGCCAUUGAUCAUCACCUAGAGGCUCGUACACCUCACCCCACAUAUGUUUCGUUGCCAUAGAUCACAUUCUUGGAUUUAUGGCGGAGACCAUUUCUUGGUCAAAAAUUCGUAGGUGUUAGCCUUCAGUAUUAUUGAAAAUGACCGUUCAUGGCUAUUUUCGACAAAAAUGGGGGUUGUGUUGCCAUUGAUCAUCGACCAGAGGCUCGUACACCUCACCCCACAUAUGUUUCCUUGCCAUAGAUCGCAUUCUUGGAUUUCUAGUGGAGACCAUUUCUUUGUCAAAAAUCCGUAGGUGUUAGCCUUCGGUAUUAUUGAAAAUGGUCGUUCAUGGCUAUUUUCGACAAAAAUGGGGGUUGUGUGGCCAUUGAUCAUCGACCAGAGGCUCAUACACCUCACCCCACAUAUGUUUCUUUGCCAUAGAUCACAUUCUUGGAUUUCUGGUGGAGACCAUUUCUUGGUCAAAAAUCCGUAGGUGUUAGCCCUCGGUAUUAUUGAAAAUGGUCGUUCAUGGCUAUUUUCGACAAAAAUGGGGGUUGUGUGCCAUUGAUCAUCGACCAGAGGCUCGUACACCUCAUCCCACAUAUGUUUCCUUGCCAUGGAUGACAUUCUUGGAUUUUUGGUGGUGACGAUUUCUUGGUCAAAAAUCCGCAGGUGUCAGCCUUCGGUAUUAUUGAAAAUGGUCGUUCAUGGCUAUUUUCAACAAAAAUGGGGGUUGUGUGGCCUUUGAUCAUCAACCUAAGGCUCGUGCACCUCACCCCACAAAUGUUUCCUUAACAUAGAUCACAUUCUUGGAUUUCAGGUGGAGACGAUUUAUUGGGCAAAAAUCCGUACGUGUUAACCUUCGGUAUUAUUGAAAAUGUUCAUUCAUGGCUAUUUUCGACAAAAAAUGCGGAUUGUGUGGCCAUUGAUCAUCGACUAGAGGCUCGUACACCUCUCCCCACAUAUGUUUCGUUGCCAUAGAUCAGAUCCUAGGAAUUAUGGUGGAGACCAUUUUUGGUCAAAAAUUCGUAGGUGUUAGCCUUCAGUGUCAUUGAAAAUGGUCGUUCAUAGCUAUUUUGACAAAAAUGGGGGUUGUGUGGCCAUUGAUCGUCGACUAGAGGCCCGUACACCUCACCCCACAUAUGUUUCGUUGCCAUAGAUCACAUUCUUGGAUUUAUGGCGGAGACCAUUUCUUGGUCAAAAAUUCGUAGGUGUUAGCCUUCAGUGUCAUUGAAAAUUGUCGUUCUUGGCUAUUUUCGACAAAAAUGGGGGUUGUGUGGCCAUUGAUCAUCAACCAGAGGCUCGUACACCUCACCCCACAUAUGUUUCCUUGCCAAAGAUCACAUUCUUGGAUUUAUGGUGGAGACCAUUUCUUGGUCAAAGAUCCGUAGGUGUUAGCCUUCGGUAUUAUUGAAAAUGGUCGUUCAUGGCUAUUUUCGACAAAAAUGGGGGUUGUGUUGCCAUUGAUCAUCGACCAGAGGCUCGUACACCUCACCCCAAAUAUGUUUCCUUGCCAUAGAUCGUAUUCUUAGAUUUCUAGUGGAGACCAUUUCUUGGUCAAAAAUCCGUAGGUGUUAGCCUUCGCUAUUAUUGAAAAUGGUCGUUCAUGGCUAUUUUCGACAAAAAUGGGGGUUGUGUUGCCAUUGAUCAUCGACUAGAGGCUCGUACACCUCACCCCACAUAUGUUUCCUUGCCAUAGAUCGCAUUUUGGGAUUUCUAGUGGAGACCAUUUCUUGGUCAAAAAUCCGUAGGUGUUAGCCUUCGGUAUUAUUGGAAAUUGUCGUUCAUGGCUAUUUUCGACAAAAAUGGGGGUUGUGUGGCCAUUGAUCAUCGACCAAAGGCUCGUACACCUCACCCUACAUAUGUUUCCUUGCCAUAGAUCACAUUCUUGGAUUUCUGGUGGAGACCAUUUCUUGGUCAAAAAUCCGUAGGUGUUAGCCCUCGGUAUUAUUGAAAAUGGUUGUUCAUGGCUAUUUUCGACAAAAAUGGGGGUUGUGUGGCCAUUGAUCAUCGACCAGAGGCUCGUACACCUCAUCCCACAUAUGUUUCCUUGCCAUAGAUCACAUUCUUGGAUUUCUGCUAGAGACGAUUUCUUGGUCAAAAAUCCGUAGGUGUUAGCCUUCGGUAUUAUUGAAAAUGGUCGUUCAUGGCUAUUUUCGACAAAAAUGGGGGUUGUGUGGCCAUUGAUCAUCGACCAAAGGCUCGUACACCUCACCCCACAUAUGUUUGCUUGCCAUAGAUCACAUUCUUGGCUUUCUCGUGGAAACCAUUAGUCAAAAAUCCGUACGUAUUAUGCUUCGGUAUUAUUGAAAAUGGUCGUUCAUGGCUAUUUCGACAAAAAUGGGGGUUGUGUGGCCAUUGAUCAUCGACCAAAGGCUCGUACACCUCACCCCGCAAAUGUUUCCUUGCUAUAUAUCACAUUCUUGGAUUUCUGGUGGAGACGAUUUCUUGGUCAAAAAUCCGUAGGUGUUAGCCUUCUGAAUUAUUGAAAAUGGUCGUUCAUGGCUUUUUUCGACAAAUAUGGGGGUUGUGUGGCCAUUGAUCAUCGACCAAAGGCUCGUACACCGCACCCCACAUAUGUUUCCUUGCCAUAGAUCAUAUUCUUGGAUUUCUAGUGCAGACCAUUUCUUGGUCAAAAAUCCGUAGGUGUUAGCCUUCAGGGUUCUUGAAAAUGGUCGUUCAUGGCUAUUUUCGACAAAAAAUGGGGGUUGUGUGGCCAUUGAUCAUUGACCAGAGGCACGAACACUUCACCCCACAUAUGUUUUCUUGCCAUAGAUCACAUUCUUGGAUUUCUGGUGGAGACCAUUUCUUGGUCAAAAAUCCGUAGGUGUUAGCCGUCGGUAUUAUUGAAAAUGGUCGUUCAUAGCUAUUAUCGACAAAAAUGGGGUUGUGUGGCCAUUUAUCAUCGACAAGAGGUUCGUACACCUCACCCCACAUAUGUUUCCUUGUCAUAGAUCAUAUUCUCGGAUUUCUGGUGCAGACCAUUUCUUGGUAAAAAAACCGUAGGUGUUAGCCUUCGGUAUUAUUGAAAAUGGUCGUUCAUGGCUAUUUUCGACAAAAAUGGGGGUUGUGUGGCCAUUGAUCAUCGACCAGAGGCUCGUACACCUCACCCCACAUAUGUUUCCUUGCCAUAGAUCACAUUCUUGGAUUUCUAGUGGAGACCAUUUCUUGGUCAAAAAUCCGUAGGUGUUAGCCUUCGGUAUUAUUGAAAUGGUCGUUCAUGGCUAGUUUCGACAAAAAUGGGGGUUGUGUGGCCAUUGAUCAUCGACCAGAGGCACGUACACCUCACCCCACAUAUGUUUCCUUGCCAUAGAUAAUAUUCUUGGAUUUCUGGUGGAGACGAUUUGUUGGUCAAAAAUCCGUAGGUGUUAGCCUUCGGUAUUAUUGAAAAUGGUCGUUCAUGGCUAUUUUCGACAAAAAUGGGGGUUGUGUGGCCAUUGAUCAACGACCAGAGGCUCGUACACCUCACCCCACAUAUGUUUCCUUGCCAUAGAUCACAUUCUUGGAUUUCUAGUGGAGACCAUUUCUUGGUCAAAAAUCUGUAGGUGUUAGCCUUCGGUAUUAUUGAAAAUGGUCGUCCAUGGCUAUUUUCGACAAAAAUGGGGGUUGUGUGGCCAUUGAUCAUCGACCAGAGGCUCGUACACCUCACCCCACAUAUGUUUCCUUGCCAUAGAUCACAUUCUUGGAUUUCUGGUGCAGACCAUUUCUUGGUCAAAAAUCCGUAGGUGUUAGCCCUCGGUAUUAUUGAAAGUGGUCGUUCAUGGCUAUUUACGACAAAAAUGGGCGUUGUGUGGCCAUUGAUCAUCGACCAGAGGCUCGUACACCUCAUCCCACAUAUGUUUCCUUGCCUAAGAUUACAUUCUUGGAUUUUUGGUGGAGACGAUUUCUUGGUCAAAAAUCCGUAGGUGUUAGCCUUCAUUAUUAUUGAAAAUGGUCGUUCAUGGCUAUUUUGAUAAAAAUGGGGGUUGUGUGGUCAUUGAUCAUCGACCAGAGGAUUGUACACCUCACCCCACAUAUGUUUCCUUGCCAUAGAUCACAUUCUUGGAUUUCUGGUGGAGACGAUUUCUUGGGCAAAAAUCCGUACGUGUUAACCUUCGGUAUUAUGGAAAAUGUUCAUUCAUGGCUAUUUGCGACAAAAAACGGGGGUUGUGUGGCCAUUGAUCAUCGACCAGAGGCUCGUACACCUCACCCCACAUAUGUUUGGAUGUCGUAGAUCAGAUUCUUGGAAUUAUGGUGGAGACCAUUUUUGGUCAAAAAUUCGUAGGUGUUAGCCUUCAGUGUCAUUGAACAUGGUCGUUCAUGGCUAUUUUCGACAAAAAUGGGGGUUGUGUGGCCAUUGAUCGUCGACCAGAGGCUCGUACACCUCACCCCACAUAUGUUUCCUUGCCAUAGAUCACAUUCUUGGAUUUACGGUGGAGACCAUUUCUUGGUCAAAAAUCCGUAGGUGUUAGCCUUCGGUAUUAUUGAAAAUGGUCGUUCAUGGCUAUUUUCGACAAAAAUGGGAGUUGUGUGGCCAUUGAUCAUCGACCAGAGGCUCGUACACCUCACCCCACAUAUGUUUCCUUGCCAUAGAUCACAUUCUUGGAUUUCUAGUGGAGACCAUUUCUUGGUCAAAAAUCCGUAGGUGUUAGCCUUCGGUAUUAUUGAAAAUGGUCGUUCAUGGCUAGUUUCGACAAAAAUGGGGGUUGUGUGGCCAUUGAUCAUCGACCAGAGGCUCGUACACCUCACCCCACAUAUGUUUCCUUGCCAUAGAUAAUAUUCUUGGAUUUCUGGUGGAGACGAUUUGUUGGUCAAAAAUCCGUAGGUGUUAGCCUUCGGUAUUAUUGAAAAUGGUCGUUCAUGGCUAUUUUCGACAAAAAUGGGGGUUGUGUGGCCAUUGAUCAACGACCAGAGGCUCGUACACCUCACCCCACAUAUGUUUCCUUGCCAUAGAUCACAUUCUUGGAUUUCUAGUGGAGACCAUUUCUUGGUCAAAAAUCUGUAGGUGUUAGCCUUCGGUAUUAUUGAAAAUGGUCGUCCAUGGCUAUUUUCGACAAAAAUGGGGGUUGUGUGGCCAUUGAUCAUCGACCAGAGGCUCGUACACCUCACCCCACAUAUGUUUCCUUGCCAUAGAUCACAUUCUUGGAUUUCUGGUGCAGACCAUUUCUUGGUCAAAAAUCCGUAGGUGUUAGCCUCGGUAUUAUUGAAAGUGGUCGUUCAUGGCUAUUUACGACAAAAAUGGGGGUUGUGUGGCCAUUGAUCAUCGACCAGAGGCUCGUACACCUCAUCCCACAUAUGUUUCCUUGCCUAAGAUUACAUUCUUGGAUUUUGGUGGAGACGAUUUCUUGGUCAAAAAUCCGUAGGUGUUAGCCUUCAUUAUUAUUGAAAAUGGUCGUUCAUGGCUAUUUUUGAUAAAAAUGGGGGUUGUGUGGUCAUUGAUCAUCGACCAGAGGAUGUACACCUCACCCCACAUAUGUUUCCUUGCCAUAGAUCACAUUCUUGGAUUUCUGGUGGAGACGAUUUCUUGGCAAAAAUCCGUACGUGUUAACCUUCGGUAUUAUGGAAAAUGUUCAUUCAUGGCUAUUUCGACAAAAAGGGGGUUGUGUGGCCAUUGAUCAUCGACCAGAGGCUCGUACACCUCACCCCACAUAUGUUUGGAUGUCGUAGAUCAGAUUCUUGGAAUUAUGGUGGAGACCAUUUUUGGUCAAAAAUCGUAGGUGUUAGCCUUCAGUGUCAUUGAACAUGGUCGUUCAUGGCUAUUUUCGACAAAAAUGGGGGUUGUGUGGCCAUUGAUCGUCGACCAGAGGCUCGUACACCUCACCCCACAUAUGUUUCCUUGCCAUAGAUCACAUUCUGGAUUUACGGUGGAGACCAUUUCUUGGUCAAAAAUCCGUAGGUGUUAGCCUUCGGUAUUAUUGAAAAUGGUCGUUCAUGGCUAUUUUCGACAAAAAUGGGGGUUGUGUGGCCAUUGAUCAUCGACCAGAGGCUCGUACACCUCACCCCACAUAUGUUUCCUUGCCAUAGAUCACAUUCUUGGAUUUCUAGUGGAGACCAUUUCUUGGUCAAAAAUCCGUAGGUGUUAGCCUUCGGUAUUAUUGAAAAUGGUCGUUCAUGGCUAUUUUCGACAAAAAUGGGGGUUGUGUGGCCAUUGAUCAUCGACCAGAGGCACGUACACCUCACCCCACAUAUGUUUCCUUGCCAUAGAUAAUAUUCUUGGAUUUCUGGUGGAGACGAUUUGUUGGUCAAAAAUCCGUAGGUGUUAGCCUUCGGUAUUAUUGAAAAUGGUCGUUCAUGGCUAUUUUCGACAAAAAUGGGGGUUGUGUGGCCAUUGAUCACGACCAGAGGCUCGUACACCUCACCCCACAUAUGUUUCCUUGCCAUAGAUCACAUUCUUGGAUUUCUAGUGGAGACCAUUUCUUGGUCAAAAAUCGUAGGUGUUAGCCUUCGGUAUUAUUGAAAAUGGUCGUCAUGGCUAUUUUCGACAAAAAUGGGGGUUGUGUGGCCAUUGAUCAUCGACCAGAGGCUCGUACACCUCACCCCACAUAUGUUUCCUUGCCAUAGAUCACAUUCUUGGAUUUCUGGUGGAGACCAUUUCUUGGUCAAAAAUCCGUAGGUGUUAGCCUCGGUAUUAUUGAAAAUGGUCGUUCAUGGCUAUUUUCGACAAAAAUGGGGGUUGUGUGGCCAUUGAUCAUCGACCAGAGGCUCGUACACCUCACCCACAUAUGUUUCCUUGCCAA
rnacentral:lncRNA from 1 species